rnacentral:rRNA from 1 species
CGGCCGCGGUAUCCUGACCGUGCGAAGGUAGCAUAAUCAUUUGUUCUUUAAAUAGGGACUAGUAUCAACGGCAUCACGAGGGUUAUACUGUCUCCUCUCUCCAAUCAGUGAAACUGAUCUCCCCGUGAAGAAGCGGGGAUGAAUCUAUAAGACGAGAAGACCCCAUGGAGCUUUAAACUCAACAACAACCUCCUUUAAAUAUUCUACACAAUUAUGGAAGUUCUGUUUGUUAGUUUUGGGUUGGGGUGACCGCGGAGAAAAACUAAACCUCCACGAAGAAUGGAAUUAACUCCUAAUAUAAGAGCCACCGCUUUAAGAAUCAAUAAAUUGACAUAACAUGAUCCGAUAGUCGAUCAACGGACCAAGUUACCCUGGGGAUAACAGCGCAAUCCAUUUCAAGAGCUCCUAUCGACAAAUGGGUUUACGACCUCGAUGUUGGAUCAGGGUAUCCCAGUGGUGCAGCCGCU